UUGUGGAGGAGGACGCCGAAGGUGGGGCUAAUGACUGGGGUGAAGUCGUAACAAGGUAGCCGUACCGGAAGGUGCGGCUGGAUCACCUCCUAACAGGAAGACAACAAAAUGUAAAUAUUAAUUUUGUCACCUUAGGUCGAUCGGUAUCUCAGAUUCUUAUUUUUUAAGAAUUUCAGUUUCUAAGUUUUUUCUAGGUCACACCCAUCACUUUUUCCUGGGCCAUUAGCUCAGGUGGUUAGAGCGCACCCCUGAUAAGGGUGAGGUCCCUGGUUCAAGUCCAGGAUGGCCCAUAUCUCUAUGUUGGGGGUAUAGCUCAGUUGGUAGAGCGCCUGCUUUGCAAGCAGGAUGUCAGCGGUUCGAGUCCGCUUACCUCCACUGAAUACCACCUCUUACAUAUUUAAAGAGGGAAAUUGUUUUGAGUCGUGUCCUAAUUUGCUCUGAGCGAAUCUAGCUUCUUAUUUUAUUCAAUAAAUAAGAUGCUGGACUCAUUGAAUUUUUUUUCAUUGUUUUCAGAGAACCUUGACAACUGCAUAGAUUAUUUUUGAAGACAAUAAGCAUCUUUAAUGAUGCAGAUUUAUUAUUUGUGCGAAUGCAUUAAAUAGCAAUUCUAUUAAGCUGAUGCUUCAAUUAUUGAAGUUAUUGGUCAAGCUUCAA
rnacentral:misc_RNA from 1 species